rnacentral:rRNA from 1 species
UAGAGAAAGAAAGCCCGCUU